rnacentral:rRNA from 1 species
GGUGGAGCAUGUGGUUUAAUUCGAUGAUACGCGAGGAACCUUACCUGGGCUCGAACGCUAUCGGCCGUACUAUGAAAGUAGUAUUUCCUUCGGGACUGAUAGUGAGGUGCUGCAUGGUUGUCGUCAGCUCGUGCCGUGAGGUGUUGGGUUAAGUCCCGCAACGAGUGCAACCCCUGUCUUUAGUUACCAUUAAUCUAGAGAGACUGUCGGUUACAAACCGGAGGAAGGUGGGGAUGAC